UACGUAGGGUGCGAGCGUUAAUCGGAAUUACUGGGCGUAAAGCGUGCGCAGGCGGUUCUCCAAGUCCGUUGUGAAAGCCCCGGGCUCAACCUGGGAAUGGCAGUGGAAACUAGGGGACUGGAAUCUGGCAGAGGGGGGUGGAAUGCCGCGUGUAGCAGUGAAAUGCGUAGAGAUGCGGCGGAACACCGAUGGCGAAGGCAGCCCCCUGGGCUGAGAUUGACGCUCAGGCACGAAGGCGUGGGGAGCAAACAGG
rnacentral:rRNA from 1 species